AUCAAACAACUCCACAACCCUAACCCGUGCCUGUCGCCGCCCACCUUGCGCUCAAUCCACAGUCCAGCCGCCAUCUCCGCCGGCCUCGCGCUCGAUCCACAGUCUGGCCGCCAUGGCCGCUGGCCUCGCGCUCGACCCCAUCGUCAAGCCGUCGCCCCGGAGGUCGGACCCCCCUCCCCCAAGCUCCACCCCGACAUCCACCCAUCCUCGCACUCCGCCCCCUCUCCCUGAGCUCCCUCCCGAGAUCGAGCCGCCGUCCUCGCACUCCACAAUCCAACGACCGUCCUUGUGUCCCCCUGACAUCCAGCCUCGUCCUCGCAAAUCUCCGUCCCUGCUACUGCCGGGGCUCCAUCGUCGUGCUCCCGCUGCUUUCAGAUCUGCUGCUAUCGGGGCUCCAUUGCCGGCCUCCCGCUGCUGCCGGACAUGCUGAUACCAGGGAUCCAUCUCCAGGCUCAUUACACUGCUGCCGGACCUGCUGCCGAGGCUCCAUCUCCUUCGAGUUGCGCCCCUCCCGAAGCCAGCCGUCCCCGUGCCUUGAGAUACUUGACACAUUUGAUAUUAAGGGUGCAUCAUGGACAAAACGUGGUUGUCUAAGCCUAGAUGAGUCGACAACGAAGCUCGGGGCGUGAUAUGGUGCUCGGUGUAGGUGGCCAUGGUGGACCUGAAGCUGGCUGAGAUAAGAGAUGGGGGAGGUAUCAGAUUAUGGAGCUCGGGGAUCUGUCUUGCCUGUUCUGAACCGAAACAGCAGCCUCACUCUCUUCUUGGUCUUGAAUAACAGUGACCUGCUUCUCAAAUGUCCCAUCGCAUAAAGGCUGCAGCACCCUAAGCUCCUCAUUAUCUGCUCCAUGAUCAAGAUCCAUAGACACCGAGAGCCGCACACUUGGCUGCAAGAUCAAAGAUGCCAAGAAGACAACUAAUGUGCCAGGAGGUGCAGAUACUUAGCCACCUAGCAUUGGAUGUGAGGAGGAUUUUGAGUGUCAUGGAACAUACAUGGCUGUUAGCAGUAUUUUGGACCAACCAACUUCAAUCAUUUCUUGAAUCUUAUGUGUGUUCUAGACCAUUUGGUGCUUCAAGUGUUUUGGAGUAGAAACUUUGUGCUCAUGUAUGUGAUUUGUGUGUUUUGGACCAUUGUUUGAAUUAGUUGAGACUAUCAAUUAGUGGCCCUUUUUA